rnacentral:rRNA from 1 species
GAUAAACGCUGGCGGCGUGCUUAACACAUGCAAGUCGAACGGAGUACUUCUCCCGAGACCGAGGAAGCUUGCUUCCAAAGAAUCAUUUGAAGUACUUAGUGGCGGACGGGUGAGUAACGCGUGGGUAACCUGCCUCACACAGGGGGAUAACAGUUGGAAACGACUGUUAAUACCGCAUAAGCGCACAGUAUCGCAUGAUACAGUGUGAAAAACUCCGGUGGUGUGAGAUGGACCCGCGUCUGAUUAGCUAGUUGGUGAGGUAACGGCCCACCAAGGCGACGAUCAGUAGCCGGCCUGAGAGGGUGUACGGCCACAUUGGGACUGAGACACGGCCCAAACUCCUACGGGAGGCAGCAGUGGGGAAUAUUGGGCAAUGGGCGAAAGCCUGACCCAGCAACGCCGCGUGAGGGAAGAAGGUUUUCGGAUCGUAAACCUCUGUCCUUGGUGAAGAGGAAGAGACGGUAGCCAAGGAGGAAGCCCCGGCUAACUAC